CCCGUCAACUGGUACAUUUCUAGCUUUCAACAGGAGGCCGGUCUUGUCUAUGCUAGCAUUUUCAUGCAGAGACAGCAGGGAGACAUUGAUUUUGACACUUACAAGACCACAUUUGCUCACGUAGAAUUACUACAAAAAUUUAGGUCACAGUCGACUGCAACACAUGUCCAAGCAUGUAGGCAUCAAAGUACCAAUCCACUUCUAUAUAAGAGAUGAUCAGUUUGAAGAGGCAACACAAAGAAAACAAGAUAUUGACAUAAACCAAAAAGAAGUCCUAAGAUGGCAAAGAUUUCACGCAAUCAUCUUGUUCUUGUAGCCUUUUUCCUUCUUUGCUUUGUUUCCACUUGUGCUAGAGCAGCAAGGACUUUGCGAGAGGCUAGCAACCACGGAGCAGAGAAAAAGGACCAAAAUGAUAUGUUUCCAUCAAAAGAAAAUGGUUUACCAGACGUGGAGGAAUUGGUUGGGAUGGACUACACUCCAGCGAGAAAGAAGCCUCCAAUCCACAACUAAAAAAAUGGAAAUUUCUGGUUGAGCUACGACAAGAGUCUUGUCUAUUCUAGUACUCAUCAUACACAUCUACUACGGUUUUGAGCUAGCUAGCACAUACAGUUCAAUAUAUAGGAGGGACAAUUAUUGCAGUGUGUGUGUGUAUAUAUAUAUAUUAGUACAUGGUUAUUUAGGAGUGUAACUUGCAAAGAAUAUUGCACUAGGAGGGGUUUAAUUAGUCUAUGGAAAUUUGUUUUUUGUAAUUAGGUUAUAAAUCAUGGCUUAAAGAACUAACAGUAAUUAACUUGAGAUACAGAAGUAUCAAUUAUGCUUGUAAUACCUUGGAUAUGAAAUCCAAGCACACUUUUCUUUUUUCUCC